rnacentral:rRNA from 1 species
UGGGGAAUAUUGCACAAUGGGCGAAAGCCUGAUGCAGCGACGCCGCGUGAGGGACGAAGGUCUUCGGAUUGUAAACCUCUUUCAGCAGGGACGAAGCGAAAGUGACUGUACCUGCAGAAGAAGCACCGGCUAACUACGUGCCAGCAGCCGCGGUAAUACGUAGGGUGCAAGCGUUGUCCGGAUUUAUUGGGCGUAAAGAGCUCGUAGGCGGUUCGUCACGUCGGAUGUGAAAACCUGGGGCUUAACCCCGGGCCUGCAUACGAUACGGGCGAACUAGAGUUCGGUAGGGGAGACUGGAAUUCCUGGUGUAGCGGUGAAAUGCGCAGAUAUCAGGAGGAACACCGGUGGCGAAGGCGGGCCUCUGGGCCGAUACUGACGCUGAGGAGCGAAAGCGUGGGGAGCAAACG